GAUGUUCAGAUACGUCCGGAGUUUCUUCCUUCUGGCGGGUUCGUGGUCUUGCCUGACUUCAGGAGUGAAGCCGGAGACCUUCUCAGUGAGCUCUUACAGGUGGCGCGUCGGGAGCUGUUUCUUCCUCCCGGUGAGGCCGCAGACCUUCACAGUGAGCCAUAAGCUCUUACAGGUGGCGCGUCGGGAGCUGUUUCUUCCUCCCCGUGAGGCCGCCGACCUUCGCAGCGAGUGUUACAGCUCUUACAGGUGGCGCGUAGCACAGCUGUUAGCUCCUCCCGGUGGGUUGG
rnacentral:lncRNA from 1 species